UCUCUGCCACCUAGAAAGUUCCAAAGUAUCUCUGGGCUUUUGCUUGCUAUGUCUGUUGCUCUCUGAUGAGUCUGUUCCUCUUUAUAAUGCAGAACAAACCAGGGACAAAGUCAGUGAAGGAAGAAGCCAAAAGACUACGUGGUGGAAGAACUUUUAAGACCUUCUUAUAGCAAGGCUUCCUAGAGCCAGCUCCUACACGAUAACGUUCCAGUUUUCAGAGGAAACAGAAAGCUACCAAAAUUAUUCAUGUCAAAGGACAGAACAGAGGCUAAGUUUGCAACACCAGCCUUUCUAUCACAUCGAGCUUGAGCUCUGUGAUUUAUGUAAAAAGGAGCACAGGCUUUACAAGCACUGAGCAGGACUUUCAGUGCUGGAGGAAGGAAUUGUUAUGCUAACGGAAAGUGACCCUGGAAACCACUUACCGAGAUGAAGGAAACCUGGAUCGCUGAGUCACUGGGUGGAAGAGUGCCUUCCAACCCAAGCCACAGAGAUUCCAGUGUGUAUUGAAUACC